UCUGCUUUCUGAGAAACGGUGUUGGUUUG
rnacentral:piRNA from 1 species